GUCAAAGCAUGUAUAGCGUCCGACGAUUCGGACCAAGGACUUUUCGUACCAUUUUUAUGUGGAGGUUCCGUACCGAAGAGGUUACAUAUUACUUAAUAUUUGUAUCAGAUGUUAAGGUUUUAUUUCAAUUAAAAGCGUCAAACCCCUUUAAUCUUUAUAAGAGAAGCGUAACACAACGUUUGAACACAUCAUUACUGGAAGCCUCAUUUUGAAGUCUGCCAUUGUUUACUUCCGGUGAACCGGGUGAUAAUUUUUUGCACUAAAUAUGGACAUGUUAGGGAAUUUCAUCUUUAUUUUUGUGCUUUUGACGAUCCUAAAAGCAUAGAGAGUUACAACUACCAGGAUGAAAAUGUAUCAAAUGAGCUUUUGAAGAAGAAAAGGCUGAAUUCCACCUAAGAGACGUUCUUGUGUGAUAUAGACUGGGCACUGGCCUAUUGGUCACCAGCAUAUACCAAGUAUAAUACCUGAAGGUUCUAAGACUGGGAUGAAGUUUAAUACCAAUUGAGCUGUAAGGAAAGAGGUUGGAAUCAAAGUCCUUGUCUGUUGGCAACUACAGAUAUAGCAGAACCAGAUUAAACACAGGAAAUGGCUGCUCAAGAUAGCAUUUAACCAAAUGAGCUGAUUUAAUUGCUCAUGGAGUCAGAACACAUGGCUCAAAUGGAACAAGAGGAACAUACCCUGUAGACGAAAACAUCGCGAGAAUUCAUCAAAAACAAGACAAAAAUGGAGUCAGAAUGAGGAUGAGGAAAUAAGAAAAAUAUUUCAUAAAUGUUUCCUUACAAGAAAAUGUCCAACAGCUCAUCAUUGUCUUAAAGCUAUAAAUUUAAGCAGGAAGAACAACUGUUGCAUUUGUAAACGUAAGAAGGAUGUCCUUAAAAAAGAAGUCAUAUUGAAGGAUUGACAGCUUAAGUGAUUAACAUUUAUGUAGUAGACAGCGACUGGGAAACCCAUGAGACAUGAACCAUAGUCACAUAAAAAUAAAAAAAAAUGUCACAUAAGUUUUAAGUGCUGAUGAGCCCUGUGUCACAUGGCUAAACUGUAUUGAAUGCAAAAGAAUGAAACUAUUUAAUAGUGCAAAUUUUAUGUAAAGGAAUGUAACCAAAUUCAAUGUUUAAAGACAUGUGUUAACAUAGUAUUUUAUUCUAGACUUUGAUUUUUGUCAGUUUUCAAUAUUUGUCCCCAAGUAAGAGGAAAUUGUUGCUAGUAAAAAGGCAAAAAAGUUACCUUUAAGUUUAAGUUUUACAAAUAUCAACAAUAAUGAGGAAUUGACUUGCGAUGAAAAUAACAACACCCGUUUUUAAACAUAUUUAAAAUAAUUGUUCAUAGAAGUAACGGUACACUUAGUCUGCUUCUUCUUCCAAAGUAUUAAAUGUUGACAAUGUUUACUUUUAUCACAUACAGGCACAUUGCUGUAAAUUUUUUUAAAGAAUGUUAUCCAGGGUAUGAUUAGAGCAUUGUUCGGAAGACUUACAUUUAUUAUCAGUGGUAUAAAGGAGUACUGUUCAGUUCUACCAGGAAAGUAGAGUAAAAUAAAUGCUUUGAAUAAUAUUGACAUCAAAGCUGUUACAGUUUUAGUUGCUAUACUUUUAUUUAAUUAAGAGCUUAUUUAAUCUGAAAUGUAUACAUACUACAGUGCAAAUUCCUAGCACACAAAUUGCAGAUGUCCCACAGAAAUUUCUGAAUGUCACAAAAUUUUUAAAUGUCACUUAACAAAUUGUGUAUGAUGGGCCUUCGUCCCAUGAACAAAAAUUCGUUCCCUGUCACUGAGUAGAAUGAAUAUCAUCCAAACUUUUUGCCUGUUCGGAAAUAAAUAUAACUGAUUUUAGUCAACACUUUAAUUCUUUUGAGGAAAAGCUAGUGUUGUAUGAUGUUUAAUCAGCUCUAUUUAGUAUAGACUCAAAUAGUAAACCUUAAAAGUGGUGUACCCUGAAGUUCUUAACUAUAUUAUUAUUUCUCAUAUUGGACCAGACAUGGAGCAGAUUAUUCCUUUGUCAUAGAAAUGAGCACACGGUGUACUGAAUUUUUUACUAGGCUAUAUUAGAAAAAUUUGUCCUGAUGAAAGAUGCUACGAGUUUUAGUGUACAGCACUUUUAGAUAUAGUCACUGUAGUGAUAUGUGUUUGACGUACAUCUGCUUUAAUUGAAUGUAAACCCAUGUACAAGGCAGGUUUCUUGUUAGUGGGUUACAAGUUGUUUUACCUUUUUUGUGGGUAACAAGUUUUACCUUGUUUUAUGCUAUUUUUAGCUCGACUAUUCAAAGAAUAGGUAGUGCUAUUGCACUCACUCAUGCGUCGGCGUCGCGUCCCGACCAGGUUAAGUUUUUGUAUGUAAGCUGAUAUCUCAGUAACCACAUAUCGGAAUGGAUUGAAACUUCACACACUUGUUCACUGUGAUAAACUGACCCACAUUGCAGAGGUUCCAUAAAUCUGAUUGCUUAUUUACAAAAUUAUGCCCCUUUCUUGACUUAGAAAUUUUUAGUUAGGUUUUUGUGUGUAAGCUGAUAUCUCAAUAACCACUAAAGGGAAUGGAUUGAAACUUCACAUACUUGUUUCCUGUGAUAAACUGACCUAAAUUGCACAGGCUCCAUAAGUCUGAUUGCAUAUUUACAAAACUAUGCCCCUUUUUCGACUUAGAAAUUUUAGGUUAAAGUUCUGUAUGUAAGCUGGUAUCUCAACAACCACUAGUGGGAAUGGAUUGAAACUUCACGUACUUGUUUACUGUGAUGAACUAACCUAUACUGCACAGGUUCCAUAACUCUGAUUUGCAUUUUUUCAAAAUUGUUCCCCUUUUUCUACUUUUAAAUUUAUUUAAUUGACAAGGCUGUUGAAUAGUCGAGCAUUUAUGUCCUCCGACAUUUCUUGUUAAACAUUUAGAAUGUUGGUGUAAACAUACUCGAAAUUGUUCUUCUGGUUUAUUUCUGUUAUUGCCAAAAAAUGAAAAUAUUCAUGACAUAUUAAAAUGACAUUAAGCUUACCUUACUGCAUAGGUGUUUUUGGUUACUGUGUUAGACUGUCAGUUUUAUAUUGCUGUACAUUUAGAUGUGUUAAAUAACCAAAAAUGCAACAACAAAAGUUCAAGUUAAUACUUUAAAACUAAGAAUUUACUUUCCAAAUGUUACUUUUCUUAUUUUGACUGGGACAGUCUUUUUAAGAAAAUUAGACUGUGUACUAUAAUUCCCUUAAGUCUGUUUCUUUAUAUUUAAGGGAGUGAUUACCUUAGACACCAGAAAUGCCAUUUUUGCAAAACUUGUAUGAUUGUAAUGAAACUUGGUACAUACAUAGUCGUCAUGUAGUCACGGGUGUCAAUCUUAGGCGCAACAAAAAUGCCAAGAAAUAUAAGUAAAUUUUUGACUGGGAUAGUCAAAUAAAAUUGUGUUUACUACUUUAUAUGAAUAAAGCUGAACAUAUCUAUAUA